rnacentral:rRNA from 1 species
GAUGAACGCUGGCGGCGUGCUUAACACAUGCAAGUCGAACGUUAGAGUGUAGCAAUAUGCUCAAAAGCGGCGAACGGGUGAGGAAUACAUGGGUAACCUACCCUCGAGUGGGGAAUAACUAGCCGAAAGGUUAGCUAAUACCGCGUACGCUCCUUGGACUUCGGUUCAGGGAGGAAAGCGAUACCGUGGGUAUCGCGCUCUUGGAUGGGCUCAUGUCCUAUCAGCUUGUUGGUGAGGUAACGGCUCACCAAGGCUUCGACGGGUAGCUGGUCUGAGAGGACGAUCAGCCACACUGGCACUGCGACACGGGCCAGACUCCUACGGGAGGCAGCAGUAAGGAAUAUUGCGCAAUGGGCGAAAGCCUGACGCAGCGACGCCGCGUGGGGGAUGAAGGUCUUCGGAUUGUAAACCCCUUUCGGGAGGGAAGAUGGAACGAGCAAUCGUUCGGACGGUACCUCCAGAAGCAGCCACGGCUAACUUCGUGCCAG